CAUGCAGUCGAACGGCAGCACAGUGGUAGCAAUACCAUGGGUGGCGAGUGGCGGACGGGUGAGUAAUGCAUCGGGACCUACCUGAACGUGGGGGAUAACGUAGGGAAACUUACGCUAAUACCGCAUACGUCCUACGGGAGAAAGCGGGGGACCUUCGGGCCUCGCGCGGUCAGACGGACCGAUGUUCGAUUAGCUAGUUGGUAGGGUAAUGGCCUACCAAGGCGACGAUCGAUAGCUGGUCUGAGAGGAUGAUCAGCCACACUGGAACUGAGACACGGUCCAGACUCCUACGGGAGGCAGCAGUGGGGAAUAUUGGACAAUGGGCGCAAGCCUGAUCCAGCAAUGCCGCGUGUGUGAAGAAGGCCUUCGGGUUGUAAAGCACUUUUAUCGGGAGCGAAAUACCAUCGGUUAAUAACCGGUGGGGCUGACGGUACCCGAGGAAUAAGCACCGGCUAACUUCGUGCCAGCA
rnacentral:rRNA from 1 species